AACGCGAAGAACCUUACCUACUCUUGACAUCCAGAGAACUUUCCAGAGAUGGAUUGGUGCCUUCGGGAACUCUGAGACAGGUGCUGCAUGGCUGUCGUCAGCUCGUGUUGUGAAAUGUUGGGUUAAGUCCCGCAACGAGCGCAACCCUUAUCCUUGUUUGCCAGCACUUCGGGUCGGGAACUCCAGGGAGACUGCCGGUGAUAAACCGGAGGAAGGUGGGGACGACGUCAAGUCAUCAUGGCCCUUACGAGUAGGGCUACACACGUGCUACAAUGGCGUAUACAGAGGGCUGCCAACUCGCGAGAGUGAGCGAAUCCCAGAAAGUACGUCGUAGUCCGGAUUGGAGUCUGCAACUCGACUCCAUGAAGUCGGAAUCGCUAGUAAUCGUGAAUCAGAAUGUCACGGUGAAUACGUUCCCGGGCCUUGUACACACCGCCCGUCACACCAUGGGAGUGGGCUGCACCAGAAGUAGAUGGCUUAAUCUUCGCG
rnacentral:rRNA from 1 species